rnacentral:tRNA from 1 species
GUUUUAAUAGUUUAAUAAAAACAUUGGUCUUGUAAACCUAAAAUAAGUUUAUCUUUUAAAACU